rnacentral:rRNA from 1 species
UACGUAGGGUGCGAGCGUUAAUCGGAAUUACUGGCGUAAAGCGUGCGCAGGCGGUUCGUUGUGUCGGCGGUGAAAGCCCCGGGCUUAACCUGGGAAUGGCCGUUGAAACUGGCGAACUGGAAUCUGGCAGAGGGGGGUGGAAUGCCGCGUGUAGCAGUGAAAUGCGUAGAGAUGCGGCGGAACACCGAUGGCGAAGGCCAGCCCCCUGGGCUGAGAUUGACGCUCGAGCACGAAAGCGUGGGAGGCAAACAGG